AGUCAAGUAAUUAAGUGCAUGUGGUGGAUGCCUUGGCAGUCAGAGGCGAUGAAAGACGUGAUAGCCUGCGAAAAGCUCCGGGGAGGCGGCAAAUAUCCUUUGAUCCGGAGAUGUCUGAAUGGGGGAACCCACCUACUUUAAGGUAGGUAUUGCAACAUGAAUACAUAGUGUUGCAAGGCGAACGAGGGGAAGUGAAACAUCUCAGUACCCUUAGGAAAAGAAAUCAAUUGAGAUUCCCUCAGUAGCGGCGAGCGAACGGGGAUCAGCCCAUUAAGUUAUGUGUGUUUUAGUGGAACGCUCUGGGAAGUGCGAACGUAGAGGGUGAUAUUCCCGUACACGAAAGGGCACACAUAAUGAUGACGAGUAGGGCGAGGCACGUGAAACCUUGUCUGAAUAUGGGGGGACCAUCCUCCAAGGCUAAAUACUCCUGACUGACCGAUAGUGAACCAGUACCGUGAGGGAAAGGCGAAAAGAACCCCUGUGAGGGGAGUGAAAUAGAUCCUGAAACCGCAUGCAUACAAGCAGUGGGAGCACCUUCGUGGUGUGACUGCGUACCUUUUGUAUAAUGGGUCAGCGACUUAUAUUCAGUAGCGAGGUUAACCGUAUAGGGGAGCCGUAGAGAAAUCGAGUCUUAAUAGGGCGUUUAGUUGCUGGGUAUAGACCCGAAACCAGGCGAUCUAUCCAUGAGCAGGUUGAAGGUUGGGUAACACUAACUGGAGGACCGAACCCACUGUCGUUGAAAAGCCAGGGGAUGACUUGUGGAUAGGGGUGAAAGGCUAAUCAAGCCUGGUGAUAGCUGGUUCUCCCCGAAAGCUAUUUAGGUAGCGCCUCGGACGAAUACCAUAGGGGGUAGAGCACUGUUUCGGCUAGGGGGUCAUCCCGACUUACCAAACCGAUGCAAACUCCGAAUACCUAUGAGUACUAUCCGGGAGACAGACUGCGGGUGCUAACGUCCGUAGUCAAGAGGAAAACAAUCCAGACCGCCAGCUAAGGCCCCAAAAUCAUAGUUAAGUGGGAAACGAUGUGGGAAGGCAUAGACAGCUAGGAGGUUGGCUUAGAAGCAGCCACCCUUUAAAGAAAGCGUAAUAGCUCACUAGUCGAGUCGGCCUGCGCGGAAGAUGUAACGGGGCUAAAACUAUGUGCCGAAGCUGCGGAUGUAUACUUUGUAUACGUGGUAGGGGAGCGUUCUGUAAGCCGAUGAAGGUGUGUUGAGAAGCAUGCUGGAGGUAUCAGAAGUGCGAAUGCUGACGUGAGUAACGACAAAACGGGUGAAAAACCCGUUCGCCGAAAGACCAAGGGUUCCAGUCCAACGUUAAUCGGGGCUGGGUGAGUCGACCCCUAAGGCGAGGCCGAAAGGCGUAGUCGAUGGGAAAAUGGUUAAUAUUCCAUUACUUCUGUGUAAUGCGAUGAGAGGACGGAGAAGGCUAAAUCAGCCUGGCGUUGGUUGUCCAGGUGAAAGGAUGUAGGCAUGUAUCUUAGGCAAAUCCGGGGUACUCUAUGCUGAGAUCUGAUAGCAAGCUGUACUUGUACAGCGAAGUGGUUGAUGCCAUGCUUCCAGGAAAAGUCUCUAAGCUUCAGUU
rnacentral:rRNA from 2 species